CGACUCUGGUUUCUCUUCAUUACGCACAAGCCUUUUCGCCUUUUACUAAAUACUUCCGUGGAGAGG
rnacentral:snRNA from 8 species